UCAAAAUUCAUUUUUAACCUAGAAGAUAACCUAAAAGCAAGCCGUCGCACCCAGCAAGCCGUCGCACUCAUCACUGCCCAUCGCCAAGACCGUCACACCACACAGCUCGCCGCCAUGUUCAUCUAACCCUCACACCCAGCCCUUCAUCUAACCCUCGCACCCAUCCCUCUCUCUGUCGCACCCAACCCUGCACUAUCAACGAUUUCUCGCACCCAGCUGUUUGUCGACGGUCUCUCGUACCCAACCCUCGCACCAUUGACGCAACCCUCGUUAGAUUCGGAACCCUCCAUCGGCGCUGCUCCGUCCACGCACCAUCAGUGGUCUCUGUCUCGGCGUGCCCUCCUACUCCCUCAGUGGUCUCUGUCUCGCAAACCCUCGUUGGAUUUGGAACCUCAAUCGUUGCUCACUCUAUUUCGUAAACCCUCAAUCGCCGCUCCUCCCUCCGUGGUUCAGCACCCGUCGCGUUGCUGAAUCUCGUUUGGUAGAGAAUACCUCUAGAUUUUUUGCAAGGUGACAAAUUUAGAGCCGCAGCAGAUAAUUACAUUAGGCCUCUCCUAACUAAGGGAGCUCCAUCUCUUUUUCCUGAUCUUUCGUCUUUGUAUAAUCACCCUGGGAAGGUCAGAUUUAUCCCUUACAAGAAUCAUUUGAGUCUGCUAAGGCAGUUUCAGUGGGUGCAUCAAAAGGUGUUCAAAGGUUGGGAAAUCAACUGCUAAUGGUGUUAGAAAACACGAAAAUAAAGCUGCAUCUUCGGUAUGUUUGAGUUUGUGUUGGUUGAUUGCUUUUAAGAUUUGUUUGACUUCCUAACUACUUGAUUCAUCAUCUUACAAAGUACAAGUCUAUUUUUUCCCCUACUCUAGGAGUUUGUUUUAAACAUGUCAUAAAUGUAGAAUCAUGUAAUAUUUGCUAAGGUGAAACUUUGAGCACUUUUGACAUGACUACUUUGAGCAUUGACUUCUCAACUAUUUUGUAGAACUCUAUUCUGUUUGAAACAAACAAUUUAUUAUUUUUCUUCUUGUUCUAAUUGCUAGGAUUGUCGUAUUAGUUGAUCAGUAAGAUGCUGGAACCAGUUCAAUUUUGUGUUGGCACUUCGUCUCUAGUAGUACUAGGGCCAGGUGCACUGAUUUUAGACAUCUCAGUUAGUAGUUGAGCUAAUUUUUGUAUGUGAAGUGUCUAACAUCUUACUUAAAUCAAUGGAAUAUAUUUUUGUUAUAUUUUCUCUAAUGCAGCUGGAUAUAGAAGUCAGGGUGAAGUACAGGUCAAUAUUGCUCGGCCUAGCAUACUUCAGAUGCAGCCCUUACCAUAUAACAUUAGAAAAGGGGAACUUCUGUUAUUUGAAAUCAUGAAUUCCUUCUUGUUCUCUGUCUUUUCCUUUAAAGAUGUAUUGUUUCAUCUUUAUUACAGUAUUAAAUAGAAUUUUCAAUCUACAUUAUCUAUUUAUUAAAUAGAUGUCUCAAUGUCGCUUAUUGGUCACAUCUGCGGAUCAACUUAUCUGGAUAUAACUUAGUUUGCUGUGACACUGAUUUGAGGUUGGUUGCUUGCUUUCUAGGCAGAAGUCAUAUUUUUGGGGCAGCUAUCACAUCCGAAUCUAGUCAAAUUAAUUGGAUACUGCUGUGAAGAUGAACAUAGGGUGCUAAUUUAUGAGUUUAUGGCCCGUGAAGUGUCGGAAACAAUUUGUUCUCCAAAUGAAGAUUGCAUUUGGAGCUGCAAAGGGACUUACAUUUCUUCACGAGGCAGAGAAACCUGUCAUCUAUCGUGAUUUCAAAACAUCAAAUAUUUUAUUGGACCUGGACUAUAAUGCAAAACUUUCUGACUUUGGCCUUGCUAAAGAUGGGCCAGUUGGAGAUGAAUCCCAUGUUUCGACUCGCAUAAUGGGAGACAUUCAAGGAUGUGUACCAUGCUUUAAAUGAAAUAAUAUUUUUUUCUCAUGUUUUUAGGAUUUUGUCCUAGUUUUUAGAGUGGAAGUUGAGGCUAUUGAUCAUGUGCGGCACAAGAACUUAGUCAGACUUCUAGUUUAUUGCAUUGAAGGCAUUCACAGGUUGUUAGUUUAUGAGUAUGUUAACAACAGCAAUUUAGAGCAAUGGCUUCAUGGAGCCAUGCGGCAGUAUGGUUUUCUCACUUGGGAUGCUCGGAUUAAAAUUCUUCUUGGAACAGCUAAAGCGUUGGCUUACUUGCACGAGGCAAUCGAACCAAAAGCAGUACAUCGAGAAAUUAAGUCAAGCAAUAUUUGAUGCAUGAGUUACACUGUCACAAAAUGGUUACAUUUUUGCAAAAUGUCAGAAAAUUCAAUGAUGCACAUACAUAUUUUCUUGGAAAAUUGUAAUGGAAACCUGUGUUUUAUGAACGACUAAUAUUCCCAUUCUAUUUACUUCUAUUGUAAAUCAAUAAAAAAUCAAUUCUUAUGCCUUCUAAUU